GACGAACGCUGGCGGCGUGCCUAAUACAUGCAAGUUGAGCGAUGAAGAUUGGUGCUUGCACCAAUUUGAAGAGCAGCGAACGGGUGAGUAACGCGUGGGGAAUCUGCCUUUGAGCGGGGGACAACAUUUGAAAACGAAUGCUAAUACCGCAUAACAACUUUAAACAUAAGUUUUAAGUUUGAAAGAUGCAAUUGCAUCACUCAAAGAUGAUCCCGCGUUGUAUUAGCUAGUUGGUGAGGUAAAGGCUCACCAAGGCGAUGAUACAUAGCCGACCUGAGAGGGUGAUCGGCCACAUUGGGACUGAGACACGGCCCAAACUCCUACGGGAGGCAGCAGUAGGGAAUCUUCGGCAAUGGACGAAAGUCUGACCGAGCAACGCCGCGUGAGUGAAGAAGGUUUUCGGAUCGUAAAACUCUGUUGGUAGAGAAGAACGUUGGUGAGAGUGGAAAGCUCAUCAAGUGACGGUAACUACCCAGAAAGGGACGGCUAACUACGUG
rnacentral:rRNA from 1 species